rnacentral:rRNA from 1 species
AUGGCUGUCAUGUGGUCUCUGAUCAUCAGUCUCCUCUUCCUCCUGCUCCCAAUCGUGCCGUCCUCCUCCAUCAAGUUCCUGCUCGAAGGCAAUGUCUACCCUGUUGGCCACUUCUAUGCUACGUUGAACAUUGAUGAACCCGCGAAGCCCUACUUCCUGGACGUCGACACUGGCAGCAACCUCACCUGGCUGGAGUGCAACCACCCAGUCCACGGCUGCAAGGGCUGCCACCCGCUUGGAUCUGUUCACACUUCAGAACUACUGGAGGUCUAG